rnacentral:piRNA from 1 species
UAACCAUCAGAAAUUAUUGAUGCUGAAUCU